rnacentral:rRNA from 1 species
AGAGUUUGAUCCUGGCUCAGGAUGAACGCUAGCGGCAGGCUUAAUACAUGCAAGUCGAGGGGCAGCAAGGGUAGCAAUACCUGUUGGCGACCGGCAAACGGGUGCGGAACACGUACACAACCUUCCUUAAGGUGGGAGAUAGCCCAGAGAAAUUUGGAUUAAUACCCCAUAAUAUAUUUUGAUUGCAUAAUUGGAAUAUUAAAGAUUUAUUGCCUUGAGAUGGGUGUGCGUAUGAUUAGGUAGUUGGUUGAGGUAACGGCUCACCAAGCCUUCGAUCAUUAACUGGUGUGAGAGCACGACCAGUCACACGGGCACUGAGACACGGGCCCGACUCCUACGGGAGGCAGCAGUAAGGAAUAUUGGUCAAUGGACGCAAGUCUGAACCAGCCAUGCCGCGUGAAGGAUGACGGCCCUCUGGGUUGUAAACUUCUUUUAUCUGGGACGAAAAAGGGCCUUUCUAGNGUCAACUGACGGUACCAGAGGAAUAAGCACCGGCUAACUCCGUGCCAGCAGCCGCNGUAAUACGGAGGGUGCAAGCGUUAUCCGGAUUCACUGGGUUUAAAGGGAGCGCAUGCGGGCUGGUAAGUCAGUGGUGAAAGCCUUGAGCUUAACUCGAGAACUGNCAUUGAUACUAUCAGUCUUGAAUAUUGUNGAGGUUUGCGGAAUGGGUCAUGUANCGGUGAAAUGCAUAGAUAUG